rnacentral:misc_RNA from 1 species
GAAUUCCUGCCAUGGAUAAUCUCCUAUCAGCAUCAUGUCCUCUUCAUGAUCAGUGUAUGUUACCUGCCACCCACUACUCCCAUCAAUUAAGCUUCCCUUGAAGUCAAACAUCUGAUCAAGUUCACAAAUAAGAUCUUCAUAUCCAUCAAAUCGAGUCAGAUCAACUGAUCUUCCAGCAGCUCCAUAUUUGAGCACCUUUGUGCAAUACUGAUUGGCGGCAGAACAACAAUUCUUGCAUUGAUUUUCUGACUUACUGCCAGAUGUACUCUUGGAUGGUUUUGAAACACUAGACUGAGACAUUGGGGGAAUAGAAUAAAGACUUUCAUGGUCACUAUACGUGGCAACUUGUGGUGAAGGGAGCU